CCGUACACUGUUCAAACACGGGCCACGAGAAAACUGGCCUUUUGUCGAGGUUGAGGGAGAAAGAGAAAAAAAAUGAACAAGGAGAAGGACCAGCACAUAUGCACUGAGGCUCUCAAUCAGGGAGCACGGUUUGUUUGACGCGGGUGGGAAAUUUAUGAUAUUGGUGAGGUGUUUACAGAGGUCACGUCCGAUCAUUUUCGAGACAAUUUUGUCGAGCACUUGCUUAUCUGAAGAGGCCCUUUUCAUCAACUGAAAAACCAGAUGGUGUCAGAAGACAUAACUCACUGGGCAUAACCUGGGAAGACAAGGGAAGCAAAUAAUAAAGCGCUGAAUGCAUCGAAAUACCAACGCGAGAUUGGGGGAAACAAAAAUCAAUACCCUCUGGCAGGCGAAGUAGAGGGCUGUGAAUUACAGGGCCUAGGCUGGGACACGGCGCACGUCAGGCAGCCUUGAGCUGGGGGACCAGGGGAGUAUCAUCCGAGAUGGAGGGAGGUCACCGGUUCAGGCCAGGACCACAGACGGCAGAGCAAGGGUGGGUGUCUUGUGUUGUGUAAUGUCGCACUCCCGUUGUCUGUUGCUUGGCCCACGAUUUCCCCCCGGCAGCCCGGAAAUGAUGCUUUCAAGUCGAAUGUUGUCGUCAAAUCAACGGCACGCCUCGCCACGAAGCCCUCCCAAAUCCACCACGAGAAUCCUCUUGGAAUAAUUAGCGGCACAUCUCCAGAGGAGAAACGUUCCCAUGCAAGACAACCAUAAACGAACCAAGCUGGCAGGCUGAGUCCGGAACCAUGAAUUCUGAGGGGA